rnacentral:rRNA from 1 species
AACGAACGCUGGCGGCAGGCCUAACACAUGCAAGUCGAACGAGAAGCCACCUUCGGGUGGUGGACAGUGGCAGACGGGUGAGUAACACGUGGGAACUUCUAGGGGUACGGAACAACUCAGGGAAACUUGAGCUAAUACCGUAUACGUCCGUAAGGAGAAAGAUUCAUCGCCCCUAGACGGGGCCCGCGUCGGAUUAGGUAGUUGGUGGGGUAACGGCCUACCAAGCCUACGAUCCGUAGCUGAUCUGAGAGGAUGAUCAGCCACACUGGGACUGAGACACGGCCCAGACUCCUACGGGAGGCAGCAGUGGGGAAUCUUGGACAAUGGGCGCAAGCCUGAUCCAGCCAAUGCCGCGUGAGUG